AGAUAACAGCAGGACAAGGGGAAAUGGUUUUAAGUUGAAAACUUAAGUUUUUAAGUUGAGGGAGGGCAGAUUUUGGAUUUUCCCUCGUAGUCUUUGCUAAACCGUGGAAGCAAACUGACCUGCUCUUUCUCUCUCCUCUCUCCACCCUCUGCCUGCUUCCCUGCUGCAGCUUUUGCUCGUGGAGGAUCAGAGCAAAGUGACAAGGAGCGGCUGCGGAUUCGUGAGAUUUCUCUCCCUCGUUCUGAUCUCUUGCCAGUUCCAGCUUGUCACACCUACGCUGAUGGCUGUGGCGUGCAGCGAGAUCAGCUGUGGGCCUGACCUGGCAUGGACAGAGGUAGAG